AUCGUUCUCGGCCUUUUGGCUAAGAUCAAAGUGAGAAUCUGUUCCCAAGCCUUAAAAUUCUGAACUCCCUCCAUGGGGGGAAAUCGUAAAUUAAAACUGAUUUUGGAAAAGGGGGUGGGUGCCCGGGGGCGGCUCCGCCCUCACCAAGGGUUGACCCCCGGUUUGCAGUACUUCCCGGGAAUGGCCCACCACUA